AUACAGAGGGUGCGAGCGUUAAUCGGAAUUACUGGGCGUAAAGCGCGCGUAGGCGGCUUGGUCAGUCGGAUGUGAAAGCCCUGGGCUCAACCUGGGAAUUGCAUUCGAUACUGCCAAGCUAGAGUAUGGGAGAGGGAAGUGGAAUUUCCGGUGUAGCGGUGAAAUGCGUAGAUAUCAGGAAGAACACCGGUGGCGAAGGCGAGCUCCUGGCUGGAUACUGACGCUAAGGCGCGAAAGCGUGGGGAGCGAACAGGAUUAGAAACCCGAGUAGUCC
rnacentral:rRNA from 1 species